CCUGCUGGGCCUGGCUGCCCCUCAGUUCCGGUUCAGGCGUCCCCAGCGCCCGCGGAACUUCUUCCGGCCCCAGCAGAACUUCCGGCCUCAGCAGAACUUCCGGGCCCAGCAGAAUUUCCGGCCCCAGCAGAAUGUCGUGGAGAAUCAGGGCCCGCCGCAGCAGAGCGGCGGUCUGUACUACUCGUGGCGUGACCCGGCUGUCGGCCGCAACGCCAAGUUCUCCUGGGGUCAAGCCAACGCCGCCUGCCAGCGUCGCAACCAGCGUCUCGUCUCGCUGGAGACGGCCGGCAAGAAUCAGCAGAUCGUCGGCGAGAUCGCCAGCGACAACAUCCCGUACAUCUGGACCAGCGGCC